rnacentral:rRNA from 1 species
AUUGAACGCUGGCGGCAGGCCUAACACAUGCAAGUCGAACGAGUGGCGGACGGGUGAGUAAUGUCUGGGCAACUGCCUGAUGGAGGGGGAUAACUACUGGAAAAGGUAGCUAAUACCGCAUACCAUCAGAUGUGCCCAGAUGGGAUUAGCUUGUUGGUGGGGUAACGGCUCACAAAGGCGACGCUCCCUAGCUGGUCUGAGAGGCUGACCACCCACACUGGAACUGAGACACGGUCCAGACUCCUACGGGAGGCAGCGGUGGGGAAUAUUGCACAAUGGGCGCAAGCCUGAUGCAGCCAUGCCGCGUGGAUGAAGAAGGUCUUCGGGUUGUAAAGUACUUUCAGCGGGGAGGCGUUACCCGCAGAAGAAGCACCGGCUAACUCCGUGCCAGCAGCCGCGGUAAUUC